rnacentral:rRNA from 1 species
UACGUAGGUGGCUAGCGUUGUCCGGAUUUACUGGGCGUAAAGAGCGCGCAGGCGGUCGUUCAAGUCGAGUGUGAAAGCCCCCGGCUCAACUGGGGAGGGUCACUCGAUACUGAUCGACUCGAAGGCAGGAGAGGGAAGCGGAAUUCCCGGUGUAGUGGUGAAAUGCGUAGAUAUCUGGAGGAACACCGGUGGCGAAGGCGGCAUCCUGGACCAACACUGACGCUGAGUGAGCGAAAGCCAGGGGAGCAAACGGG